GAGUUUGAUCCUGGCUCAGAACGAACSCUGGCGGCGUGCUUAACACAUGCAAGUCGGACGUGAUCCGGAGCUUGCUCCGGUGAAAGUGGCGCACGGGUGAGUAACGCGUGGAUAAUCUGCCCUGGUAUCUGGGAUAACAUCUCGAAAGGGGUGCUAAUACCGGAUAAGCCUACGGGAUCCUCGGAUUCUGCAGGAAAAGGKGGCCUCUAUUUAUAAGCUACCGUAUCAGGAUGAGUCCGCGUACCAUUAGCUAGUUGGUGGGGUAAUGGCCCACCAAGGCUACGAUGGUUAGCUGGUCUGARAGGAUGAUCAGCCACACUGGAACUGAGACACGGUCCAGACUCCUACGGGAGGCAGCAGUGGGGAAUUUUGCGCAAKGGGGGAAACCCUGACGCAGCAACGCCGCGUGAGUGAUGAAGGCUUUCGGGUCGUAAAGCUCUGUCAGAGGGGAAGAAAUGAGACUGGCUAAUAUCCAGUUUUCUUGACGGUACCCUCAAAGGAAGCACCGGCUAACUCCGUGCCAGCAGCCGCGGUAAUAC
rnacentral:rRNA from 1 species